UACGUAGGUGGCAAGCGUUGUCCGGAUUUAUUGGGUUUAAGGGGUGCGUAGGCGGUCUAUUAAGUCAGUGCUGAAAUAUCCCGGCUUAACCGGGAGGGUGGCAUUGAUACUGAUGGACUUGAGUAAAGUUGAGGUUGGCGGAAUUGACGGUGUAGCGGUGAAAUGCUUAGAUAUCGUCAAGAACACCUAUUGCGAAGGCAGCUAACUAAGCUUAAACUGACGCUGAGGCACGAAAGUGUGGGGAUCAAACAGG
rnacentral:rRNA from 1 species